rnacentral:tRNA from 1 species
GUUUCCGUAGUGUAGCGGUUAUCACGUGUGCUUCACACGCGCAAGGUCCUCGGUUCGAACCCGAGCGGAAACA